UAGAAUAGGCGCUUGUGUUUGCGAAAGGAACUAAACGCAGAUGUAUUAUGUAUGCGCUCUUGAAACAGCUGAUUCUGCCGCACGCGAAGAACGGUACAAACAAAUAAUACGUCGCGUAUACUUGAGAGGAGCAGUGUCACGCCAGUUGUCUUCUCAUUAUAAAGCUAGCAUGAUGUUCUGGUCCAUCACGCUGCUUGCCUUCACACUAGCGCACGGAACAACGGCCACGAUGAAGUCAGAGGCGGAACUGUUGAAAGUGAAUGGCUGGAAGGAAAUGGAUGCUCAAGGGAAUCCUUUGUACAAAACACUGGCUUCGAAGGCUGCUUCGAACUUUACCAAACAUAUAGAUUUCUACCAGGUGCUGAAUGAGGUGAUAUCAGUGAACAAAAAGGGUGAAAAGCACAGAAUUGAGUUUACUUACUCGCCUACGCCAUGCAGCGUUAAUGAAACAUUUGAUUCCGCAAAAUGCAAAGCAGUCACACCCAAGGCUUCCGGCGAGUGCACUUCAAUGUUCACAGUGAAGGAAAACAAAGCAGAAAGCGCCGUGCUCGAUUGGGUUCACUGCAAUGAUUUCAUGGCGCCAAAGCGCCGUCGCUAUCCGGAAAAUUAGGCGAAAGCUGAAGAGUACUAGGCAACACAUUUUAACAGCCAUGUGCAAAGCCCACAUAACCAAUGGUUUCCACCUCGAGUGGCAAACAAGGUUUCCAUAGUGUGUCAAACAUGACGUAAUUUUUUCCCUAUGGAUUGAGAAAUUUAGGCUAAGACUAACGAAAACAAUAUUUAAUCUCAUCAAAUGGGGACACAACUAAAUCACCUAGUUGCAGUAAAGAAAGCAUUUAGCGCUUGACGAUCAGAGACCAAUGGACACAAGGUCAGGACAAGAAUAAAGCACACAUGAAUUAUGGAUGUUUUAAUUAUGACUGAAAAUAAAUACGCACUGUUCGAUACAACACAAA